AUUGAACGCUGGCGGCAGGCCUAACACAUGCAAGUCGAACGAAGCCUUCGGGCUUAGUGGCGGACGGGUGAGUAACACGUGGGAACGUACCUUUUGGUUCGGAAUAACGCAGAGAAAUUUGCGCUAAUACCGAAUGAGCCCUUCGGGGGAAAGAUUUAUCGCCGAAAGAUCGGCCCGCGUUGGAUUAGGUAGUUGGUGUGGUAAAGGCGCACCAAGCCUACGAUCCAUAGCUGGUCUGAGAGGAUGAUCAGCCACACUGGGACUGAGACACGGCCCAGACUCCUACGGGAGGCAGCAGUGGGGAAUAUUGGACAAUGGGCGAAAGCCUGAUCCAGCCAUGCCGCGUGAGUGAUGAAGGCCCUAGGGUUGUAAAGCUCUUUCACCGGUGAAGAUAAUGACGGUAACCGGAGAAGAAGCCCCGGCUAACUUCGUGCCAGCCGCCGCCGUAAAAC
rnacentral:rRNA from 1 species